rnacentral:rRNA from 1 species
GACAAACGCUGGCGGCAGGCCUAACACAUGCAAGUCGAACGGACAGAACAGGGAAGCUUCUCGGAGUGGAGCCGGAAAGGUGGGGGAGGACGGGGGAGUAACGCGGUGGCAAGCUACCAUGUAAGGGGGAAGAACCUCGUAAAACAGAAGCCAAUACGCCGUAAGAACGUGGCUUCGCAAGAAGUAAGGAGGAGAGGAGGCCAGAGCGCAGUCGAUAGAAGGUGGGUCAGCGGCUGAUUAGCUAGUUGGUGGGGUAAAGGCUCACCAAGACGACGAUCCGUAGCGGGCCUGAGAGGGUGAUCAGCCACAUUGGAACUGAGACACGGCCCAGACUCCUACGGGAGGCAGCAGUGGGGAAUCUUCCGCAAUGGGCGAAAGCCUGAUCCAGCAAUGCCGCGUGAGUGAAGAAGGUCUUCGGGUUGUAAAGCUCUGUACUUAGCGAAGAGGGGGUGUUGUAUUAAUUGACGCUACUAUGACGUUAGCUGCAGAGUAAGCCCCGGCUAACUACGUG